rnacentral:rRNA from 1 species
UACGUAGGGGGCUAGCGUUGUCCGGAAUCAUUGGGCGUAAAGAGCGUGUAGGCGGCUUGGUAAGUCCGCUGUGAAAGUCCAGGGCUCAACCCUGGAAAGCCAGUGGAAACUGUCAAGCUAGAGUCCGGAAGAGGCGAGUGGAACUCCUGGUGUAGCGGUGAAAUGCGCAGAUAUCAGGAGGACACCGAUGGCGAAGGCAGGUCUCUGGGCCACUACUGACGCUGAGAAGCGAAAGCAUGGGGAGCGAACAGG